CCUACGGGGGGCUGCAGUGAGGAAUAUUGGUCAAUGGACGAGAGUCUGAACCAGCCAAGUAGCGUGAAGGAUGACUGCCCUAUGGGUUGUAAACUUCUUUUAUAUGGGAAUAAAAUGUUCCACGUGUGGGAUUUUGUAUGUACCAUAUGAAUAAGGAUCGGCUAACUCCGUGCCAGCAGCCGCGGUAAUACGGAGGAUCCGAGCGUUAUCCGGAUUUAUUGGGUUUAAAGGGAGCGUAGGUGGAUUGUUAAGUCAGUUGUGAAAGUUUGCGGCUCAACCGUAAAAUUGCAGUUGAAACUGGCAGUCUUGAGUACAGUAGAGGUGGGCGGAAUUCGUGGUGUAGCGGUGAAAUGCUUAGAUAUCACGAAGAACUCCGAUUGCGAAGGCAGUUCACUGGACUGCAACUGACACUGAAGCUCGAAAGUGUGGGUAUCAAACAGGAUUAGAUACCCGAGUAGUC
rnacentral:rRNA from 1 species